ensembl:lncRNA
GUCAAGGCUAAGAUCAUUGGAUGUCAGGUAAUCCCAUUCGCUUCGAUAGCCGGCUGAAACCGGUUUCAGAAGCCCGUUGAUGUGUCAUCCGACAUCUGACUGCCUGGAUUCCGCAUGUGCUCCAGCGCCACAGACACCACAGGGACCUGCCCAUAGCCUGAGGACGGGGGUUUCGCUCAGAGAGCUGUUGCCGGGCACUUUGAUGUCAACAGACAACGUGGCAGCAGCAAAAGCUUCUCUGGGCUCGGUGUUUUAGCGAUCGCCAUGGUGAUAGAGAUUGGGAGAGCGAGAGCCUGACUGUUUCCGCUGAGACUGCCCCGACUCCAGUUCAAACCGGUCCAGAGGCUGAAAAAAAAUAAAUAAAAAAAGGUGAAGAAGAGGAAGUGAGAAUGCGACAGUGCGCUGUGUAGACUUGCGUCAGCUUUUGUCUAAGCCUGAUGAGAGAAGCCACACUUAGUCCAUGUGACUCAGUGUUGAUAAAACACUUCUCCUCUCCUGGAGACCACCUUUUACAUAAUACAACAUUUGUGUUAACAGUCUGUUACAAGCUCUAAAUGUAGAGAGCUCUGCCUCUGAGAAACUUCAAAGCCCAGUGAUAAAUCAUGGAAAGACAAGACAACAUUUUUUAACUCCAUACAAGCGUUGGAGUUAUCCAAACGGUUGACCUCCAAAAUGAUCUAUUCCUGUUUUGCCGCGAUGCCAAGGAGACAGCUUACAUGGAAAAAAAAUACCACGACAUGUUAUACAGACCUGAGAUAAUGGGCUGUAGAUUAGUGAGGCACUAAAAGUUUCUUCUUUCAAGGAUUUCUGCUGAGUGUCAUGGCCUAUUUGAGGAUUUCUGAGAAACUGUGUGGUGAAAAAAGUGUAGUUACUGGAACCUUUAAGCGCCUAAUGGUUUGCCAGAUAUGUGGAAGUAUUGGAUUGUUUUCAAUUAACUAAUGCUUCAAAGUGCAUUUUCUCUGGUAAGCGUAUUGCAUAAAUUAAAUUAAACUGCAAUCCAGAUGUGGUUUCGAUGACUCCUACA